UUUCAGCAGUGAGGAAGGUGGGUAUGUUAAUAGCAUAUUCAUUUGACGUUAGCUGCAGAAGAAGCACCGGCUAACUCCGUGCCAGCAGCCGCGGUAAUACGGAGGGUGCGAGCGUUAAUCGGAAUUACUGGGCGUAAAGCGCAUGCAGGUGGUUUGUUAAGUCAGAUGUGAAAGCCCGGGGCUCAACCUCGGAAUUGCAUUUGAAACUGGCAAACUAGAGUACUGUUAGAGGGGGGUAGAAUUUCAGGUGUUAGCGGUGAAAUGCGUAGAGAUCUGAAGGAAUACCGGUGGCGAAGGCGGCCCCCUGGACAGAUACUGACACUCAGAUGCGAAAGCGUGGGGAGCAAACAGGAUUAGAUACCCUGGUAG
rnacentral:rRNA from 1 species